GGCGGGGUUCCGCUCCCUAUCGGGGUCUACCUCCCCCUGCCAGGGAAGAGAAGACGGGGUGCUGGUUUCCAGCCGGGGUGGACGCACGAGAAGUAAGUGGGCGACCCCAAGGCAGGGGAUGCGAAUCCUGGACUGAAGGAAGAUGCCCAUCUCCUGUGCCUGGGAGGGUCUGCAGGGGACGCUCGUAAGGGGUUCUCGUCCCUGCUGAUUUCCCCAGAAGUGACCCAACAUCGCCUCGGUGGAGGAUGUGGACGCCCGCAGGACCGGUU
rnacentral:lncRNA from 1 species